GGCCCGUAAGCUUUAAGAAGCAUGUACUUUGAAAGUACAAGAUAAGGCACGACCCUUACGAGCUU
rnacentral:tRNA from 1 species